AUCCAGAUGAAGAUGGGGAUGAUCCAGGUGAGGGUAGGGAUGAUGCAGGUGAGGGAAGAGACAUCCAGAUGAAGAUGGGGAUGAUCCAGGUGAGGGCAGGGAUGAUCCACAUAAGGGUGGGGAGCAUCCAGGCCAGGCAGGGACACCAGUGUGGGGUGGGGACAGCCGGGUGAGGGCUCUUGGGUGACAUGGGGCCAGUGGGAGCUCCAGGUGGGAAAUCCAGGCGGGAAUUGCAGCCCCACCCCGU